AAUACAUUGCACAUGCCAAUAAUAGUCAGAAAAUGAAAAGUAUGCACGCAAUUCUAUUAUAUUUACAGCUCUUAAUCUCAGUCUGUACAUGUAUAGAAUAGUGAGGAGUCUUGGGUAAUGAAGUCAGCCAGCUAGUAUACUGUAAAAAAAAAAAAAAUGUUACUCACAAAACCCUCAAAAUCAUAUUUUGUUUUUGAAGUAAAUCCCUUCAACCUUCUUACUCAUUUUGUUGGUUAACAGUUGCUUUUUGUGUAAAAAUGUU